UUGAUGUUAAUAAACAUAUUUCCGUAAGAGUAUAUUUUUGUGCCCAAACAGUAAACCAAAAUAUUUUAAUUGAAGAAACUGAAGUUUUGCGAUUGAAUUAAUCAUAAAAUGUCUACUCUUGCAGUUGUACAACUUAAAAAAACCCUAAUUGUUUGACUUUUAGUAUUUACUGUAAUUCUAAUAAUAAUAAUAAUAGAACAAUUAUAAAAAUAAUAUUUGAGAAAGACAAAAAUAACUUCAAGCUGAACAAAGCUCUCUAAAUCAAUCUUAGCAGUGAGUGUGAGUGACAGCAUGUAUGUUUGUUCUGCGUGUCUCUUUGUUGCCCUGUGAUGGACUGUCUCCUCCCCAGUUACUGAUACACACCAGCCCCUAUGAUCUUGCAAGGGUAUGCAAGUUUAGACAAAAGAUUGAUGGAUGGAAGUUCAGGACUGCUGUUGGUAAACGCUUCAUCAAGCUACAUCCUGCAAACCAAAAUUAAGUUAAUUAAUUAAUUUCAAAUGGAUUCAAAUAAGAUCAUAGAUUUUGCAUCCUGAGGCAAACUUGGAGAAGCACCAUGCUGGCUGUCAUCAGUGGAUGGUUCAAGCCUCUGUGAGACUGCUGCGUUGUGUUUAGAUACAUUGCCUGUGCAACUCUCACUUUUUCAAAUUUAAUGUCACAUUCUCUCUUCUUCUUUUCUUUCUCUGACUUUAUUUUUUUUCGAGAAUCUGGAUUAAUUUAGAUGAUCAAUAUGAAGCAACAUUCUAUGUAUGUUUAAUAUCUUUGAUAUCUGUUUUUUUGUUUUUUUUUUUUGUGGAUCAGAGAACAGAUUUGAGUAGUUAUUUAAAAGUAAAUUAAUCCAGAUUUUUUGUGGGAAAUCCACCAACUUUUCUGAAAGGUGUAGCUCACAUCAUAUUCAAUAAACAUAACUCUGCAAAUACAUUAAUCCUCUUCAACUUUUGUGUGUUUUGUCAGUAUUCAACCACAAAGUUCAAUACAUUUAUAUGACAGACUAAUACAAAAUAAGAUAUUAUUGUAAAGUGAAACAGAAAACUGAAAGGCUGAACAAUGAGAGAAAUAAUCAGAGAAGCGGCUCAGAGGUUGGUGGUGGUAAUUCUGGAGUGGUGAAGAGACAAAAGUGGGACAAUCUGUUGACAGAUUACUUGUGCUUCCUUCAAAUCUGUCCCUUUAAGGAUGAAAGGCAAGGAAAAAAAAAAUUUUUGAAAGCAGUUUGCCACAAAUGAUAUACAAUACAAACACUGUGGAGUGAAAAAGCAUUUAUCCUAUUAUUUUGCAUGUUUGUUACACUUAAAUAUUUCAGAACUUCAGACCAAUUCAAAUUUUAGUCAAAGACAACACAAGUAAACACAAAAUGCAGUUUUUAAAUGAAGAUGUUUAUUUAUAAGGGAGAAAAAAAAAAGCCUGGCCUGUUCUGAAAAAGUGAUUUAUCACCUGAUAAAUUUCACCUGAGUUCACUGAUUACUGUCACACCUGUUUUAAAUCAAGACUUCACUUAAGUAGGACCUACUUAACAAAGGAAGGACACUGUAUUAUUUGUAUAGAUAUUAAAAUCCACACUCCUUACCAUUUGGUUGUGAUAAUGUGAUAAGUUGUUUGCCAAUUGCCAAUUGCCAAUAAAUACCACAAGAAGAAGAGUGGAACAUCAUGCGAACAAUUGUUUCUCCAACUCUGACCCAUAAAGUCGCAGCGGAGAAAGCGACGGACUGAACCAACAGCUACUGCUGUGAAGAGGAGGAGAGCCGCAUAAAUUGCUACCGGUCGUAUUGACCAGGUUCACUAGCAAUUUCUACACACCUGUGCUGUUGUCAUUCCUUAACUCAACCCACAAGGCGGUACGUCAGAUCUCACAGCAGGCAUGGGCUCCAGCAAGGCUUUUGCGACUCGGCACCAUCAGUGAUGCACCUUUAAAAUAAUCACCCGUGUCAGAGGAUUGUCUAGGGAGGGGCGUCCCUGGUGCUGGCUCCUUAUUGCAAGUGGCAGGAUCAGAGGCUACGUAUAAAAAAUGGAAGUGAUGCAAUGUGACAUCUGUCAGGAUGGAUUGGAGAGCAUUUAUCUGCAAAAAAAGAAACGCCUGAACUGGAAAAUGAAAGGCCAAGAUGGUCCAUCCUUUUGCUGGAGGGAGAAUAUAAAUUCCGAGGUUGAAUCAGGAAGAUGAGUCAAGGAUGCUUGUGUGUGUGUGUGGGGGGGGGGGGUGGGGGUAGUCUGGGUGUACAAGUAAAUGGGUGGGUCAAAAUUAUAAAGAUUUUUCCUGAAAUAAAACCAGACUACAUCUCAGACACACUUCUAGUUCAAGUCAGAUGGAGAGUAAUCUAUGUAAACACUGUCAUAGUGACUUUCAGAAUUAUUAUUUUUGAUCACCAUUAAACUUUAACAGCAGCAUCACUUCGAAGUACGAUAAACAUCUCUGUAUUUUAUUGACCUUAUGUUGUUAGACCAACACAAGCAGGGAAAUAAUUGUGAAGUAAAAAGAAAAUUUUCUUUUUUUUUUUUUAACUAAUAAAAGUCUGCAAUCUGAUGCCCCUAAGCAAAAAUCUAGUAAAAAAAUAAAACUUGCUUUAGAAGUCCA